rnacentral:lncRNA from 1 species
CCAGAAGGGCAUCACCUCGAUUGAAAGUAUUUGGACUCUAACUUGCUUUGCAUAGUGGAUUGAGAUUGAUUCCCACUGACAAUCGGCUUUUGGUCUCUUCAAUCGGUACCUCCGUGGAGUCAAUCACAAGGGAGAUACAUUACAUGUAGAUUGCAUCUCCUCUUGCCGAUUCUUGUGAAUCUAACUUUGAGGGAAGAGCUAAGGAAUUGAUUUAGCUUGUGCUGACCAAACAAACUCAACAAUAGAAGAAUCUUUACUUUGGUCAGGCCCCACCACCGCCACGAUGUCAUGCAGCCUCGAUCACCUUCUUGCACGGAAUCUGAUUUUCAAAUUCGUAUUGAUAUUUGUUCCUUGCCUCCUUCAAAAUUUCAAACCCUUUACGGUUUAGGGUUUAGCCUUAGGCAUUGUUGGUUUGGGCUGGGAGUGGUCGGGUUGGCCCAGCCCAACGUGGAAACAUUCGCGAUUCCAUUAUAUUCUCCUCUACUCCCGCCGACUCCUACGACUACGACGAGGAAUCCCGAGGGUACGGCCGCACCGCAGCAGCUGCAGCUCCGACCCGGACGCAACUAACGGCGAGUCGGCGCUCUCUCGCCUCCAGGUUCCUCUACCAUCGCAGCCGCCUCCUCGCCGGUAACGCACUGCACUGCACUCCUUUUCCUCCCCUGCUCUCAGUCCUAGCUAGGGUUCCUGGGUACGGUCCGCAUUCUUGAUUCCGCCAUAGGCCGCGCUGUUGGGUUCUUGGGUGCGAUCGAGGACCCGGCCCCGCUGUUGGCAAGCCGCAAGCGCUAGGACGUGUGAGUGAAUCUGCUGCGCGAGCACAUGAAUGAAUGAAGCGCCGCUCCGGAGCUUGCGGGUACCCUCUAGAACGACGCUCUUCUUAAUCAGUGGCAUGAGAAUCGCGGUUUGAGUGAAAACCCCCUAAGGCUUCGUUCGUUUAGUGGGGAUUGAGGGCUGGAAAUAAUCCAGUUGAUCAUUGGUACUAUAAGCCCUCUAGAACGAUGCUCUUCUUAUCGCGGUUUGGAAUGAAAACCCCUUAUUUUGUGGAACUUUUCUGAUCGAUUUCAGUGAAACCCAUUAAAAUCCAGACAGUUAUCUCACGUGUCCCAGUGGAACUUUGCGUUAGUAAGUCUGAAACAUGUAGUUCCGCAGAUAGUAAAUCUAUCUCGUGCCUCCCAGUAAGCAGAUAGCAAAACUUUGCUUUUCCGGCAAGAAUGUCAGGCCUUGUUU